ACUCAAAGGAAUUGACGGGGACCCGCACAAGCGGUGGAGCAUGUGGUUUAAUUCGAGGCAACGCGAAGAACCUUACCAGGCCUUGACAUGUCCAGUUUAGUUUCCAGAGAUGGAUUCUUUCACCUCGGGUGGCUGGAACACAGGUGCUGCAUGGCUGUCGUCAGCUCGUGUCGUGAGAUGUUGGGUUAAGUCCCGCAACGAGCGCAACCCUCGUCCUUAGUUGCCAACAGGUAAUGCUGGGAACUCUAAGGAAACUGCCCGUGAUAAGCGGGAGGAAGGUGGGGACGACGUCAAGUCAUCAUGGCCCUUACGGCCUGGGCUACACACGUGCUACAAUGGCGGUGACAAUGGGCAGCUAACCUGCGAGGGUGAGCCAAUCCCUAAACGCCGUCUCAGUUCGGAUUGCACUCUGCAACUCGAGUGCAUGAAGCUGGAAUCGCUAGUAAUCGUAGAUCAGCGUGCUACGGUGAAUACGUUCCCGGGUCUUGUACACACCGCCCGU
rnacentral:rRNA from 1 species